rnacentral:rRNA from 1 species
UACGUAGGUCCCGAGCGUUGUCCGGAUUUAUUGGGCGUAAAGCGAGCGCAGGUGGUUUAUUAAGUCUGGUGUAAAAGGCAGUGGCUCAACCAUUGUAUGCAUUGGAAACUGGUAGACUUGGGUGCAGGAGAGGAGAGUGGAAUUCCAUGUGUAGCGGUGAAAUGCGUAGAUAUUAGGAGGAACACCAGUGGCGAAGGCGGCUUACUGGACUGUAACUGACGUUGAGGCUCGAAAGCGUGGGGAGCAAACAGG